rnacentral:rRNA from 1 species
AGAGACAGCAGCCGCCGCGGUAAUACGUAGGUCCCGAGCGUUGCCCGGAUUUAUUGGGCGUAAAGCGAGCGCAGGCGGUUAGAUAAGUCUGAAGUUAAAGGCUGUGGCUUAACCAUAGUACGCUUUGGAAACUGUUUAACUUGAGUGCAAGAGGGGAGAGUGGAAUUCCAUGUGUAGCGGUGAAAUGCAUAGAUAUAUGGAGGAACACCGGUGGCGAAAGCGGCUCUCUGGCUUGUAACUGACGCUGAGGCUCGAAAGCGUGGGGAGCAAACAGGAUUAGAUACCCCAGUAGUCCCUGUCUCUUAUACA